rnacentral:rRNA from 1 species
GAUGAACGCUGGCGGCGUGCCUAAUACAUGCAAGUCGAGCGAACAGACGAGGAGCUUGCUCCUCUGACGUUAGCGGCGGACGGGUGAGUAACACGUGGAUAACCUACCUAUAAGACUGGGAUAACUUCGGGAAACCGGAGCUAAUACCGGAUAAUAUAUUGAACCGCAUGGUUCAAUAGUGAAAGACGGUUUUGCUGUCACUUAUAGAUGGAUCCGCGCCGCAUUAGCUAGUUGGUAAGGUAACGGCUUACCAAGGCAACGAUGCGUAGCCGACCUGAGGGGGUGAUCGGCCACACUGGAACUGAGACACGGUCCAGACUCCUACGGGAGGCAGCAGUAGGGAAUCUUCCGCAAUGGGCGAAAGCCUGACGGAGCAACGCCGCGUGAGUGAUGAAGGUCUUCGGAUCGUAAAACUCUGUUAUUAGGGAAGAACAAAUGUGUAAGUAACUAUGCACGUCUUGACGGUACCUAAUCAGAAAGCAACGGCUAACUACGUG